GCAGUUGUGGCUCGGAGGGAGAGCACUUGCCUCACAUGCGUGGGGCACUGGGUUCGAUCCUCAGCAACACA
rnacentral:tRNA from 1 species